GGGGAUGGGGCUCCGUGGGUAGAACGCUUGCCUGCCAAGCAUGAAGCCCUGGGUUUGAUCCCCAGCAUCACAG
rnacentral:tRNA from 1 species